rnacentral:lncRNA from 1 species
AUGCAACUGGGACAACUUCUUGCGGUCCUACAAUUCCCUACUGGAAUGCUCCUUCACCAGAAAUAUAUUGAUGUGAUUUUUAAUUCUGCAGCCCGAGGGGAAGAGGGAAAUCAUAGCUCUUUUUAUGUUUCUGGUGCACAGGUACCUAUAAAAAGAAUGCAUGGGAAGAGACAAUCCAGACAUAGUCUGAGCUAUCUGUGGAGUUUGGGACAGAUAGAGACUCAAAGUUCUACCUUAUUUUCAGUUUUUAGCAACCUCAAUGAAUUGGUGAUAUUUUAGGAGAUUCCACUUGGAUAUGUGCAAAAGAAAACCUAACAAAAUACUCAUUCCUAAAUGGUAUGGGCAGUUGCUUAAUUUCCUGUCUGUCAUACACAGGAAGAAAAUUUAUGUAUUCUGUCUGGCCUGUCUUUCCCUCUUGGGAAUCGCAAGUUGAAUGUGAAUAAAUGUUGCUACCUGGCAGAGGUAUGCUUACUCAGUUCUGGUAUAUGUUGAUCAGCUUCCUGCUCUAUUUGGCUCAGGACCUUUGACGGCAUGGCUAUGAUCUUGUCUUUGAGAUGGGGUACUUCUAGGAAUUUCUGUCUUUCUGUACCUGCUGGCUUCAUAAAUUACCCUGCAAUGCCUCAUUCCAGCCAGAAGCAGCCUGUCCUGUUUUGCUGCCUGAAGCAAAAUGGGAAGACGCUGCCCUGUGUACACACACCCCUCUUGCUACCCAACAUUGAGACUGGUGUACAUUGUAGAGCAAUGUCUCUUGCUUUUCUUGGCUUAUGACAGUUGCACUGUGUUUGGCCCUGCAAAUGGCUGGUCUGCCCUCCAGCCUCAGAGAUCGCCAUGACUAGACUGGCUGCUCUGGCAGAUAGCUGCUAACUGAUUGGAACCAACACUGAGCUUGCUUCCUCCUGCAAUAAGUUUGAGACGUGCUGUGAGAGAACUUGGCUCUUGAGGUUGGCUACCACAGAGACAGUCUCCCAGAAUGACCCAGACUGACUGCACCAUCCCUGUCACCCCUAUGUGACACAGUAAGAGCAAUCUGGCACAGAACAUCCUGGCUGGAUCAAAUGUCUUUGAGGCUAGCCGAGUGGGGCUGAAGCAAGAUGUGCCUUUGUGCUCGUGGAUCCCAUGUUAGUGACCUGAGCUUAACAGGCAGGAAUUAUUUGUAGCACAUCUUCCUUUCGUCUCUGCCCCCAGCUCCUCGCCCAGUGCCAUGGAUGCCUGCUGCACUGGGAGAGCUUUCACUCGUCCUAGCCAUCAGUCUCACCCGACAUUAUGACCCUACAUUAACAUGAAGAGUUAUCUCCAUCUCCACCACCUAGAUGAUGGCUGAGUGCCUGGUUGAUCAAGGCUAUAUUGCAUGUAGCCCAGCAACUGCUGAGAAAUUGCUGGUGGUUGUCAGAGCAGUUGUGUG